rnacentral:rRNA from 1 species
UACAGAGGUGGCAAGCGUUGUUCGGAAUUACUGAGCGUAAAGGGCGCGUAGGUGGCCUUUUGAGUCAGACGUGAAAUCCCCCGGCUUAACCUGGGAACUGCGUCUGAUACUGGAAGGCUUGAGUUCGGGAGAGGGAUGUGGAAUUCCAGGUGUAGCGGUGAAAUGCGUAGAUAUCUGGAGGAACACCGGUGGCGAAGGCGGCGAUCUGGGAAGAUACUGACGCUGAGGUGCGAAAGCGUGGGGAGCAAACAGG